CGGCGGACGGGUGAGUAAUGCUUAGGAAUCUGCCUAUUAGUGGGGGACAACAUUUCGAAAGGAAUGCUAAUACCGCAUACGUCCUACGGGAGAAAGCAGGGGAUCUUCGGACCUUGCGCUAAUAGAUGAGCCUAAGUCGGAUUAGCUAGUUGGUGGGGUAAAGGCCUACCAAGGCGACGAUCUGUAGCGGGUCUGAGAGGAUGAUCCGCCACACUGGGACUGAGACACGGCCCAGACUCCUACGGGAGGCAGCAGUGGGGAAUAUUGGACAAUGGGCGCAAGCCUGAUCCAGCCAUGCCGCGUGUGUGAAGAAGGCCUUAUGGUUGUAAAGCACUUUAAGCGAGGAGGAGGCUACUUUAGUUAAUACCUAGAGAUAGUGGACGUUACUCGCAGAAUAAGCACCGGCUAACUCUGUGCCAGCAGCCGCGGUAAUACAGAGGGUGCAAGCGUUAAUCGGAUUUACUGGGCGUAAAGCGCGCGUAGGCGGCUAAUUAAGUCAAAUGUGAAAUCCCCGAGCUUAACUUGGGAAUUGCAUUCGAUACUGGUUAGCUAGAGUGUGGGAGAGGAUGGUAGAAUUCCAGGUGUAGCGGUGAAAUGCGUAGAGAUCUGGAGGAAUACCGAUGGCGAAGGCAGCCAUCUGGCCUAACACUGACGCUGAGGUGCGAAAGCAUGGGGAGCAAACAGGAUUAGAUACCCUGGUAGUCCAUGCCGUAAACGAUGUCUACUAGCCGUUGGGGCCUUUGAGGCUUUAGUGGCGCAGCUAACGCGAUAAGUAGACCGCCUGGGGAGU
rnacentral:rRNA from 1 species